rnacentral:rRNA from 1 species
AUUGAACGCUGGCGGCAGGCCUAACACAUGCAAGUCGAGCGGAUGAAGGGAGCUUGCUCCUGGAUUCAGCGGCGGACGGGUGAGUAAUGCCUAGGAAUCUGCCUGGUAGUGGGGGACAACGUUUCGAAAGGAACGCUAAUACCGCAUACGUCCUACGGGAGAAAGCAGGGGACCUUCGGGCCUUGCGCUAUCAGAUGAGCCUAGGUCGGAUUAGCUAGUUGGUGAGGUAAUGGCUCACCAAGGCGACGAUCCGUAAUUGGUCUGAGAGGAUGAUCAGUCGGACUGGAACUGAGACACGGUCGAGACUCCUACGGGAGGAAGCAGUGGGGAAUAUUGGACAAUGGGCGAAAGCCUGAUCCAGCCAUGCCGCGUGUGUGAAGAAGGUCUUCGGAUUGUAAAGCACUUUAAGUUGGGAGGAAGGGUUGUAGAUUAAUACUCUGCAAUUUUGACGUUACCGACAGAAUAAGCACCGGCUAACUCUGUGCCAGCCGCCGCGGUAAGAC